CCUACGGGAGGCAGCAGUGAGGAAUAUUGGUCAAUGGACGAGAGUCUGAACCAGCCAAGUAGCGUGAAGGAUGACUGCCCUAUGGGUUGUAAACUUCUUUUAUAUGGGAAUAAAAUGUUCCACGUGUGGGACUUUGUAUGUACCAUAUGAAUAAGGAUCGGCUAACUCCGUGCCAGCAGCCGCGGUAAUACGGAGGAUCCGAGCGUUAUCCGGAUUUAUUGGGUUUAAAGGGAGCGUAGGUGGAUUGUUAAGUCAGUUGUGAAAGCUUGCGGCUCAACCGUAGAAUUGCAGUUGAAACUGGGAGUCUUGAGUGCAGUAGAGGUAGGCGGAAUUCGCGGUGUAGCGGUGAAAUGCGUAGAGAUCACGAAGAACACCAGUGGCGAAGGCAGCUCACUGGACUGCAACUGACACUGAGGCUCGAAAGUGUGGGUAUCAAACAGGAUUAGAUACCCCAGUAGUC
rnacentral:rRNA from 1 species